GAGCUUCUAUUUUACUGCUCCCAUGAACCUGCACUAUGUAGUCCAGUGUAUUUCCCAUGGUACUCCUGCACUUAUUUACACCCCAGUCUCCCUCUGCUGGACCGUGGCCUUCCUAAUAGAAUGGGGCCUGGCUCAGUCAAUGCCAUGUAUAUUGGUGAAUUGAGUGAAUUAAUGUUUGCAAAAAUGUCUGAGUGACUGCAGGCUCUGCCUAUCAUGUUGAUUGUCACGAAAGGUGGGGUUUCUAGCUCAUGUUCUAAAAAUGAUAUUUCCAAAGCUAUCCCUGUCUCUGCUCUACUAUCCAGGUAUCCAGUUAGAAAGCACCUUAGAGAAAAUUCAGAUUGUCCCUUUCCACCAUCCCACAACCUUCAUUUUCGAAGAUGAGAAAACUGGAAUUCCAGUGGGAUUUGAGGAUAUUCUAUUAACCUUCAAUAGAGCUAGUUAAUGGCAGAACCCAGAACUAGCAAUUUUCUAUUUAUUAGGCUUCACAUGUGAUGCUUCCUGUUAUCUGAAAUACCCUUCUCCACUUUUUAUAUAUAUAGGAACUCCUUUUUAUUGUUCAGCAGACAUCAUCCCCUUUAGGACCCUUUACCCAACUCCCCUACUACAGUUGUCAGCCUCUCCACAUUUCCUUCAUACACAAAUGUGCCACCAUUGCUGCAUAUACCAGGCUGCUUUGGAAUUUUUGGUGUAGACUAAUAGACUGAGUUUGUUUCUUUCUUUUUGUCCUUUUAGGGCUGUAUCCAUGGUAUAUGGAGGUUCCCAGGCUAGGGGUCGAAUUGGAGCCACAGCUGCUGGCCUGUACUACAGCCACAGCAACACCAGAUCCGAGCCGCAUCUGCAACCUACACCAUAGCUCACGGCAACGCCGGAUCCUUAACCCACUGAGCAAGGCCAGGGAUCGAACCUGCAUCCUCAUAGAUACUAGUCAGAUUCGUUUCUACUGAGCCACAACUGGAAUUCCUGGACUAUGAGUUUCUUAUGGGCAAGGAUUGGGGCAACUCAACUAGGACUGGGGGACUUACUAUGAAUAGAUAUAAAAUAAAAACAAGUGUUAUGACCCAGAACCUGGGUUGGCCUCUGUCCCAAAGAAGACCUCUCCAAGAGACAAGUCUGGCUGUCUUAUUCAUCUCAUCCAGUUUCAGCACCUGGAGAUACAAUACCAAGCAAAUAAUAAGUGCUCAGUAAAUAUUUGAUGAAUUAUAUUGUGUUGAAUUUAACCUGAUCUGCAAUCCAGGUCUUAUGACUGUCAUGUGCUUUUAACCACAUAUCUAACUGCUGUAUUCAAUUUCUUUCUCAUAACAAACCAGUGUAGUGGACAUUGCUUCUGUUUACAAGAAAAGAAACUGAUGCUCAGAUUAAGAGACUCGUCUAAGGUGGUUCAAAUUAUGCGUCACAGACCAUAUAGUGUAAGUCCUAAUUUUCUGCUAAUUUCUUCCUUCCUUCUCUCUUUUGUUCAUUCGUUCCUUCCUCCUGCCAUCCAUCCACUCAGUUCAAUAUCAUUCACUGAGUCUAUGUCAGGCGCUGUAUGCAUGGUUUAUAUUGCACUUUAUGUCUAGAGUAUUAAUUCUCAAAGCAACUCAGUCUGCUAAGUAUUUUCCAUUUUUUUUUGCUCUGGAUGAGUACUUUUAUUUCCAAAUCUUUUAAGGACAGUGAAUGUUUUGUAUGAAUUAAGAAUUAAUGCUUUCUUUUGGAAUCAAUCACUGUUGACUUUUUCUUUUUCUUUUUUUGUGGUCUUCAAAAGCAUUUAUUGGAUGAUUCUUUCCAGAGAGGGAGACAUGUGGACAGGGCUGUGGGCAGGCAGGCCUCCAGCUCUCCACCUGGGGAAGGUCUCUGGGCAAAACACUGUGCGUCAGCUGCAUGGUCACUUCUCUAGGGGCACGUAGUUGAGCAGCUUCUCAAUCAGGUCCAAGUUGGUCAGCAGCCUGCAGUGGCAGCAGUAGCACUUCAGGCCCAACACAUCCAGGGCAUUCCCCCUUGGUGUACUAGGCCUGCAGCAGCCCCAGGUAGGCCUCCCACUUGUUGUCGACGAUCUUGCCACACGUGAAAAAGUAAACAGGAAUGAUCAUGAUGAUCACUAUUGACUUCUAAUAUGCUUCUUUGAUAGGUCAAAUAUGAAUCAAUAUGCAGCCAAUAACCGCUCCUGUUGUAGCCAAACUUGCAGGCAUAGAGGAGUCCCCAGGGGUCUCUGAUUGAAUCAUGUUCUGUUGAUUCUUCAGGCCAAUCUGCAAAUUCGUCGGUGAAUGGUCUUCUCUAAAGCAGAGCACGCCUGCAUUAUAUCCAGCCCAUGUGCCAGCUCAUUUCCAAUGAGACCUCAGUGAAAAUGGCUUUCACUCUCCUGAGGGCGUUUGUGACAUGCACACACAAACACUUCAUCAGUAAGUCCACUGAAAGCAGGACAUGGGAUUUGAGAGGCAACACAUCCAUGUUCAUAGAAGAACAUAACCACGGCUGUAAACACACUCUCUUUAAAGAGGGAUUUCCAAAACCAUCAGUUUUCCAUGAAUCAAUAUUCUACAGAAGAUAAAAUAAGAUACAAAGAAAUUAAAUGACUUACGCAGGAUACACUCCCAUCAUUCAUUUAUCUAAACACAUAGCCGCAGGCUGUAUCCACAUUAGAGGCCUGGUUUCCUUCCUGAUUCUUAAAUCACAGCAAUGGGAGAAAGUAAAAAACAACCCCUCCAGUGGGAACUCUGAUCAUGUCAGUUGUUUCAUUGUUUUGUGCUUUAUAACCACGUAAGACUCACCAUUAUCUAGUAUUCAAGCUCUGAAAUUAUUUCAAAGAAACUAUCCCUUUAAUAAUAUUGUUUACAGAACAUUCACUAAGUACUGGGUCUUAAUUUCUAAGCAACCCCCUAAAGAAGGUAGGGAUGUAGAAACUCAUAGAGAAUAAAAAACUUGUCUAAAGUCUCACAUCCAGUAAGAGCAGAGCUGGGACGCAAACCCAGAUCCAUUGGGCUCAUUAUCCUGAGUGCUUAUAACCACCUCCCUAUAUGCUUCCCUCAAAACUAUUUCUCCUGAACCCAUCUCCUCUCUAGGUGGUUAGGUACAAGAAGAAGAGACCCUUGGCCCAAGGCCUUGAAUUGAAAUGAUACACCUUAUUGAUUUAAUAGAGUAAAGCAGGCAGUUUUCAUAAGCAGGAAAUCACUAUGCAGAGUACUGCUGUACCAUUUAUAGACAGAAUACUUGUCCUCCCAGGAAGUGUACAGAUUCUCUUUAUUUAUGCCAUACCUUGUUCUAAAACAGGAUUUGAGGUGAUUUACAUAGUAAAGACCCAGGGAAUUUAUCAUCAGCUAAAGCCUAGCAUGGUGAAAUUAGAAAAGACAUGCAUUCAGCUAUGUAAAGAACACUGAAUGAGGUCAUAAACUGACACCUUUGACUGAUGUGAAGGCAGUUAAAGCUCCAGUGGGAAGGCUGAGGAUAGUGCGUAUUCAGAAAAAAACAGGCAUCGAAAGCAUCAUCAAUAAAAUAUAGCAGGAGUUCCCAUCGUGGCGCAGUGGUUAACGAAUCCGACUAGGAACCAUGAGGUUGCGGGUUCGGUCCCUGCCCUUGCUCAGUGGGUUAACGAUCCGGCGUUGCCGUGAGCUGUGGUGUAGGUUGCAGACGCGGCUCGGAUCCCGCAUUGCUGUGGCUCUGGCGUAGGCCAGUGGCUACAGCUCCGAUUCAACCCCUAGCCUGGGAACUUCCAUAUGCCCGGGGAGCGGCCCAAGAAAUAGCAACAACAACAACAACAACAACAACAAAAAG
rnacentral:lncRNA from 1 species